UACCAGCUCUCCGAGUGGUAGGGAUGAUUAUUGGGCUUAAAGCGUCCGUAGCCGGCUUAGCAAGUCUCCUGUUAAAUUCAGCGACCUAAUCGUUGAGCCGCGGGAGAUACUACUAGGCUAGGAGGCGGGAGAGGUCAACGGUACUUCCGGGGUAGGGGUGAAAUCCUAUAAUCCCGGGAGGACCACCAGUGGCGAAGGCUGUUGACUAGAACGCGCUCGACGGUGAGGGACGAAAGCUGGGGGAGCGAACCGGAUUAGAUACCCGGGUAGUCCCAGCUGUAAACGAUGCGAGCUAGGUGUUGGGGUGGCUACGUGCCACUUCAGUGCCGCAGGGAAGCCAUUAAGCUCGCCGCCUGGGGAGUACGGCCGCAAGGCUGAAACUUAAAGGAAUUGGCGGGGAGCACCACAAGGCGUGAAGCUGCGGUUC
rnacentral:rRNA from 1 species